GUUCAAGAACUGUGAAGAUAAAACGACGACGUGGUAUGAUGUCUUCUAACCUAGAAUAGAACGCCUGCGAUUGUGGCCGAACCGGUUCAGAGUUCGGACAAAUUAGAACGACGGCGUCGCACCGUCGUCUAGAGCGCUGAAUGGCGUUGGGCUGUUGUACCUUACGGUAGAAAGGACGAACUCCCUCGGUUCCACGGUUUGAAAAAUCAUCCUUGACUCUAAGGCCUCAUGCCAAAAUUUAGUUGGUUCAGAUUAUUCAAAAUGGGCUGUUAGGCCUGGACCAUGUUGAUUUAUAACGUUGGCAUUAAUAUGUUGAUGACUUAGGUUUGAUUAUACCAAUCUUGUUGGUUCUAGUUGGAAUGUAUUAGAUUUCUCUCGAUUAGAGUUGAUUUACUUAUGUUUUCCAGGCAAAAAUCAACUGGAAGGAAGUAUUUCAUCAUCUAGAACGUGACCUUAAGGCAGUUGAAGAGCAUGGAUUGUCUUUUUGAUGGAUUGGUGUAGGAUCUUGGUUAUUGGAUUGUCUUUUUGAUCCAAGAAUUUAUGGCGGGAUGAUUAUAUUUAGUUGUUGCAUUCCAUUAACUGGGUUAUGAACUGUUAUUAAAUAAAUGAAUAAAAACUCCAUAUCUGCAUAAUAUUUUCA